rnacentral:lncRNA from 1 species
GGAAAAUGCCCCCGGAGCGGAGUGGCCUGCUUGACCGCGCAGGGAUCCGCGACGCGCGCGGGAGGCCGCCGGGGACCGUCUGCNNNNNNNNNNNNNNNNNNNNNNNNNNNNNNNNNNNNNNNNNNNNNNNNNNNNNNNNNNNNNNNNNNNNNNNNNNNGUCUGCGCCCCUUGGGGCGUCGAGGCUGGCCACCGAAACGCCACAGGCUACUGUCGCGAGUAGGCUGAGUAAACUGGGUAGGAACUCGGAGCUCGCGGGUGACAACCCGGAGGGGCCCUGACCCCAUUCCCUACUCCAUCCUCUCCGUGGGACUCCAGCUUGGCGAGGCUGCGGCCAGGAUGUAGCUGUCCCCACUGUGAAGGAGCCCCCAGGGUGACCAGCUGCGAGUAUCUAAUUGGGCUGCUUUGCAGACCUAAUGAGAUUAGAGGGAGGAAUCGUUUGCCGCCACUGCAGAAUAAACUGAUACAUUACUACCAGCCACAGGUUUGGAGGAUUGUAAGCUUGUUUUUUUUUUUUCUUCUUCUUUUGUUGUUAUUCCUCUAUUUUCUCUUUCCCCCUCCUGCCAAAUAAUUAUUUGCAAGUAGAUCGUGGGAAAAAAAAGCGGAGAAAAAAUCCUAGCAUCCUAGGACUAUAAUACAUAUCUAUUUAUUAUAUGUCUUUCGGUUAAUUCCAGAUCUGAGGAGCGCUGUUUUUCACUCCUAUGCGAAAGUCACCAGCGGGUAGGGCCUGAUUGCUACUUUUCAUGCAUAGUUUUAGACACAAGAGGGCAUUGUGACGUCGCUCCCGGCAGCGCCCAAUUGCAGGGCCAGUUCCGCGGCCCCACGUGGGGGUCCCGCGCUUCCAUUGGCCAGCGCCGAGCGAAGCUGCCACAUUAUUUUGUUACUUUUCAGUCCCUAUUUGGAACUGCUCUCGCGGCAGUUCAGACCUCGUGCUCUUCCUCUUCGCCUGUGUGUGGUAUCCGCAGGUCUGAGGCACUUUUUUGGCGCUCUCCUGCCGGCGCGCUCCGAUCGCUCCUCGCCCGGGACGCAGCGCUCGAGUUGGAAGCACCGAGGACCCUUGGCUGAGGCUUCCCGUGCCCACUGGAGUUAGGAUGUUGCCUUGUGCCUACUGAGCCCAGAGUUCCUCUUGGCCCCGGGAAAGGCUUGAAGCGGCGGCGGCAGCGGCAGUAGCGGCAGUAGCAGACGGAACAACAGGAUCCUCUUCGAGGGGGGCGUCGAAGCGCCCGCGCCGGGCUCUAGCUCUCACCCUCCGGCGGUUUUGCGGCGCCGAGCCGUCGCCUGUGUGCCAACCUCCUUCCUUUCCUCGCCGUGAGCCCCGGCCCGGCUGCCUCUAGGAUCUGACUUGCCAGCCCCGAAUGCUUGGGGCUACCCCCGCGCGCCCCCUUCGAGGCUCCCCGCACUGAGUGAUCCACAGGGGGCCCUCGCACCCCUCUGGAGGGACCCCCGGCCUCGGGACCCUGCGCCGGACCCAACGAUGUCCGCGCAGCCCCCGGCUCUGACGCUCUGC